rnacentral:lncRNA from 1 species
ACCACUCAGAUUGGUACACUCGUUGAUGCCAACACCACUUUUAGUGAAAGGUUGAACUCAAUCGAGCAAACUUUGACGAGUGUUCAAACCACUCAUGCAGAUUUGUCAAACGCGCAGAACGUUGUUUCAAGCCGUUUAGAUACUUUGCCUUCAGUAGCAGCGCGUCAGCGUAGGCUAUUCGUAACUCCCGCACAAAACAGGACCAGGAAUAC